rnacentral:lncRNA from 1 species
UUCCUCCCCCCAACCGACCACCACUCUAGCCGAUGGGACAGUCUCCGACGACAUCGAGCGACCGAGUUCGAUGAUCGAUGACAGCAACCAACGACGGGAAAAGCCAAAACAACAUGGGGAAAAUAGGGGAUCCGUAAAAUUAUGGAUUUUCAAACAAUUUUUAGCAAAUAAAUUCAGUAAAAAUUCAAGAUCUAAACCA